rnacentral:rRNA from 1 species
UACGGGGGGGGCAAGCGUUGUUCGGAAUUACUGGGCGUAAAGGGCUCGUAGGCGGCCAACUAAGUCAGACGUGAAAUCCCUCGGCUUAACCGGGGAACUGCGUCUGAUACUGGAUGGCUAGAGGUUGGGAGAGGGAUGCGGAAUUCCAGGUGUAGCGGUGAAAUGCGUAGAUAUCUGGAGGAACACCGGUGGCGAAGGCGGCCAGCUAGACCAGUUCUGACACUGAGGCGCGACAGCGUGGGGAGCAAACAGG